rnacentral:rRNA from 1 species
GAUGAACGCUGGCGGCGUGCCUAAUACAUGCAAGUCGAGCGAACGGACGAGAAGCUUGCUUCUCUGAUGUUAGCGGCGGACGGGUGAGUAACACGUGGAUAACCUACCUAUAAGACUGGGAUAACUUCGGGAAACCGGAGCUAAUACCGGAUAAUAUUUUGAACCGCAUGGUUCAAAAGUGAAAGACGGUCUUGCUGUCACUUAUAGAUGGAUCCGCGCUGCAUUAGCUAGUUGGUAAGGUAACGGCUUACCAAGGCAACGAUGCAUAGCCGACCUGAGAGGGUGAUCGGCCACACUGGAACUGAGACACAGUCCAGACUCCUACGGGAGGCAGCAGUAGGGAAUCUUCCGCAAUGGGCGAAAGCCUGACGGAGCAACGCCGCGUGAGUGAUGAAGGUCUUCGGAUUGUAAAACUCUGUUAUUAGGGAAGAACAUAUGUGUAAGUAACUGUGCACAUCUUGACGGUACCUAAUCAGAAAGCCACGGCUAACUACGUGCCAGCAGCCGCGGUAAUACGUAGGUGGCAAGCGUUAUCCGGAAUUAUUGGGCGUAAAGCGCGCGUAGCGGUUUUUUAGUCUGAUGUGAAAGCCCACGGCUCAACUGUGGAGGGUCAUUGGAAACUGGAAAACUUGAGUGCAGAAGAGGAAAGUGGAAUUCCAUGUGUAGCGGUGAAAUGCGCAGAGAUAUGGAGGAACACCAGUGGCGAAGGCGACUUUCUGGUCUGUAACUGACGCUGAUGUGCGAAAGCGUGGGGAUCAAACAGGAUUAGAUACCCUGGUAGUCCACGCCGUAAACGAUGAGUGCUAAGUGUUAGGGGGUUUCCGCCCCUUAGUGCUGCAGCUAACGCAUUAAGCACUCCGCCUGGGGAGUACGACCGCAAGGUUGAAACUCAAAGGAAUUGACGGGGACCCGCACAAGCGGUGGAGCAUGUGGUUUAAUUCGAAGCAACGCGAAGAACCUUACCAAAUCUUGACAUCCUUUGACAACUCUAGAGAUAGAGCUUUCCCCUUCGGGGGACAAAGUGACAGGUGGUGCAUGGUUGUCGUCAGCUCGUGUCGUGAGAUGUUGGGUUAAGUCCCGCAACGAGCGCAACCCUUAAGCUUAGUUGCCAUCAUUAAGUUGGGCACUCUAAGUUGACUGCCGGUGACAAACCGGAGGAAGGUGGGGAUGACGUCAAAUCAUCAUGCCCCUUAUGAUUUGGGCUACACACGUGCUACAAUGGACAAUACAAAGGGCAGCGAAACCGUGAGGUCAAGCAAAUCCCAUAAAGUUGUUCUCAGUUCGGAUUGUAGUCUGCAACUCGACUACAUGAAGCAGGAAUCGCUAGUAAUCGUAGAUCAGCAUGAUACGGUGAAUACAAUCCCGGGUCU